rnacentral:tRNA from 1 species
GGGGCGGUGGCGGAAUUGGCAGACGCAAUGGACUUAAAAUCCAUCGGUCGCAAGACCUUGAGGGUUCAAGUCCCUCUCGCCCCA